rnacentral:tRNA from 2 species
GACAGCGUGGCCGAGUGGUUAAGGUGUUAGUCUAGAAAACUAGUGGGUUUAUCCCGCACAGGUUCGAAUCCUGUCGCUGUCG